AUUGAACGCUGGCGGCAGGCUUAACACAUGCAAGUCGAGCGAGCCGCGGACGGGUUAGCAAUGUCUCUGAAAGUUCCUGAUGGAUGGGGAUAACUACCGGAAACUGUUGCUACUUCCGCAUACCAUCAGAUCUGUCCGGUUGGGAUUAGCUAGUAGGUGGGGUAAUGGCUCACCUAGGCGACGAUCCCUAGCUGGUCUGAGAGGAUGACCAGCCACACUGGAACUGAGACACGGUCCAGACUCCUACGGGAGGCAGCAGUGGGGAAUAUUGCACAAUGGGCGAAAGCCUGAUGCAGCCAUGCCGCGUGUGUGAAGAAGGCCUUCGGAUUGUAAAGCACUUUCAGCGGGGAGGCGUUACUCGCAGAAGAAGCACCGGCUAACUCCGUGCCAGCAGCCGCGGUAAUAC
rnacentral:rRNA from 1 species